UACAGAGGGGGCGAGCGUUAUUCGGAAUUAUUGGGCGUAAAGGGCGCGUAGGCGGCCUUUCAAGUGACGGGUGAAAUCCCUCGGCUUAACCGAGGAACUGCCUGUCAGACUGGAAGGCUUGAGACCGGGAGAGGUGAGUGGAAUUCCCAGUGUAGCGGUGAAAUGCGUAGAUAUCCGGAGGAACACCGGUGGCGAAGGCGGCUUCCUGGACCGAUUACUGACGCUGAUGCGCGAAAGCUAGGGGAGCAAACGGG
rnacentral:rRNA from 1 species